CCCCCCCCGAGCAGCUUCUCUAGAGAAAGCAGUUGCGAGCGGUGCAGCGGGCGCCGCCAGCUGUGACGAAUGAGAGCGAAGAUCUUAUCGCCAGAAGGAAGUGCUCAGCUGCUCUUCUCCGAAGCCACCGCGCUUCACAGAUGUGCCUGGAGCUUAUGGGCAAGGAAAAAACAAAAGAGUUGCCCUUCUGCAAGUCAAGUUAUGGGAUGACGAUCAGUGGCUGCAGCAUUUCGUAUGCACAAGGCCACUUUUCAGGAACUGUGCGCGGAGCUCCGCCCAGCACUGUGACACUAAAAUGAGACCUGCGCUGACAGUGGAGAAGAGAGCGGUGAUUGCUGUGUGGAAGCUUGCAACGCCAGACUGCUACCGUGUUGCCUGCGCUGGCCUGGGACUCCAACUCCUCAGAGGUAUCCAUGCUGCUCUCGGGGGACAUUGUGGGGUCGCCCAUGAGAAUCGCAUGCAGCUCCUCGUAGAUGUGUACGUUUCUAUGCCUGCACAGCCUCUUCUCCCCACGGACCAAGAAGAUCCACUACCUCCUGUGUGCUCCAGGCUGGAGCGCGUUUGGAACGCGGAGCCACCAUGAUCGGCUGGGCAGGAACAAAGGACAGGAAGACAUUUUCGUGGUAGACUCAAGCUUCACAAGACACUGUGACAAUUAAAGAGUUGAUUAAAAUUUGAUGCAGAGUGGGAAGCCUAGAAUGAUGUGUAGAACUUUCACUUUGACAACCUUUUGGUGAAGACGUGUCACAACAAAUAAGAAGAACCAGCUUGAGCCUCUAGGAAACAAUGUAUCAUCAGCCAUCAAGUAGAAGGCAGGUAAUUCUCCACAGAUAUAUUCUUACUUGGAUCUGAUCAUAACUGAUGGACAAACAUGAGAGCGAGAAAUAGAAAAAAAUUGGUCUUUCCUAAGGAAGCAUGAAGGGAAAUGCCAUGUGCUGUUUUGAGGAACAAAUUACUAGUGUGUUAAAGCCAAAUGACAAAUCAGACCCCAUUUAUAAAGAGCAAUGCUGUAGGAGUGAGUCCACUACAGAAAUUUCAAGGAUGGUGAUGGAUAGAGAUUUCAAAUACGAAAAGCAGCAUCAGAAAAAUGGCAGAUGAUAAGGUCAAAGUGGGAAAUUCAUCAGUAUAACCAUAGACUCUUAUUUACCCCAAAAGAAGCCAUCUCAAAAAAAGUAUUUGAUUUUUCUGUUAUGAAUUGCUGUCUUUUCUUGUCUGCCUUAGAUGGCUUCAAAAUAAAUUGUUACUUCUCAAUGGGAAUUUCCUUUGAAAAUAAUUGAAAAAGGUUUAUACUACCAGAUAAACAGCUUAUUAAAGCCGUAAUCCAAUAAACACUUAAACAUGUGUUUAACUUUACUGCCUUGAGUACUCCCACUGAUGUCAAUAAAAUAAUUCACAGUAGUAAAAUUAAUCAUGUGCACAAGAAUUUGAAGACUUGGGGUCUUACGCUGUAGGAUCUUCAAGACAGGGACCACCUCUUACUAUAUGUAUAUUCAGCAUCUAGCCCAA